rnacentral:rRNA from 1 species
UUGUCUCAAAGAUUAAGCCAUGCAUGUCUCAGUACAAGCCAAAUUAAGGUGAAACCGCGAAAGGCUCAUUAAAUCAGUUAUGGUUCCUUAGAUCGUACCCACAUUUACUUGGAUAACUGUGGUAAUUCUAGAGCUAAUACAUGCAAACAGAGUCCCGACCGGAGACGGAAGGGACGCUUUUAUUAGAUCAAAACCAAUCGGUGACGAGUUUCGGCUCGUCAUCGUACAAUUUGGUGACUCUGAAUAACUUUAUGCUGAUCGCACGGUCUCGCACCGGCGACGCAUCUUUCAAAUGUCUGCCUUAUCAACUGUCGAUGGUAGGUUCUGCGCCUACCAUGGUUGUAACGGGUAACGGGGAAUCAGGGUUCGAUUCCGGAGAGGGAGCCUGAGAAACGGCUACCACAUCCAAGGAAGGCAGCAGGCGCGCAAAUUACCCACUCCCGGCACGGGGAGGUAGUGACGAAAAAUAACGAUACGGGACUCAUCCGAGGCCCCGUAAUCGGAAUGAGUACACUCUAAAUCCUUUAACGAGGAUCAAUUGGAGGGCAAGUCUGGUGCCAGCAGCCGCGGUAAUUCCAGCUCCAAUAGCGUAUAUUAAAGUUGUUGCGGUUAAAAAGCUCGUAGUCGAACUUGUGUCCCACGCCGCCGGUUCAUCGCUCGCGGUGUUAACUGGCGUGUCGCGGGACGUCCUGCCGGUGGGCUUAGCUCGCAAGGGCGGCCCAACUCAAUCCCGCCGCGGUGCUCUUCACUGAGUGUCGAGGUGGGCCGGCACGUUUACUUUGAACAAAUUAGAGUGCUUAAAGCAGGCUAAAAUUUUGCCUGAAUAUUCUGUGCAUGGAAUAAUGAAAUAGGACCUCGGUUCUAUUUUGUUGGUUUUCGGAACCCCGAGGUAAUGAUUAAUAGGAACUGAUGGGGGCAUUCGUAUUGCGACGUUAGAGGUGAAAUUUCUGGACCGUCGCAAGACGGACAGAAGNGAAAGCAUUUGCCAAAAAUGUUUUCAUUGAUCAAGAACGAAANUUAGAGGUUCGAAGGCGAUCAGAUACCGCCCUAGUUCUAANCAUAANCGAUGCCAGCUAGCGAUCCGCCGACGUUCCUCCGAUGACUCGGCGGGCAGCUUCCGGGAAACCAAAGCUUUUGGGUUCCGGGGGAAGUAUGGUUGCAAAGCUGAAACUUAAAGGAAUUGACGGAAGGGCACCACCAGGAGUGGGGCCUGCGGCUUAAUU